AAUAGAUACCCUGGUAGUCCACGCCGUAAACGAUGGAUACUAGCUGUUUGAGCGCAAGUUUGAGUGGCUAAGCGAAAGUGAUAAGUAUCCCACCUGGGGAGUACGGGCGCAAGCCUGAAACUCAAAGGAAUUGACGGGGGCCCGCACAAGCGGUGGAGCAUGUGGUUUAAUUCGAUGAUACGCGAGGAACCUUACCAGGGCUUAAAUGUAGAUUGACGUAUUUGGAAACAGAUAUUUCUUCGGACAAUUUACAAGGUGCUGCAUGGUUGUCGUCAGCUCGUGCCGUGAGGUGUCAGGUUAAGUCCUAUAACGAGCGCAACCCCUGUUGUUAGUUGCCAGCGAGUAAUGUCGGGAACUCUAGCAAGACUGCCAGUGUAAACUGUGAGGAAGGUGGGGAUGACGUCAAAUCAUCACGGCCCUUACGUCCUGGGCCACACACGUGCUACAAUGGCCGGUACAGAGAGCAGCCACUUAGCGAUAAGGAGCGAAUCUAUAAAGCCGGUCACAGUUCGGAUCGGAGUCUG
rnacentral:rRNA from 1 species